UACGGGGGGUGCUAGCGUUAUUCGGAAUCAUUGGGCGUAAAGGGCGCGUAGGCGGUCUCGUAUGUCAGAUGUGAAAGCCCUCAGCUUAACUGAGGAAGUGCAUUUGAAACUACGAGACUUGAGUAUGGGAGAGGGAAGCGGAAUUCCUGGUGUAGCGGUGAAAUGCGUAGAUAUCAGGAGGAACACCGGUGGCGAAGGCGGCUUCCUGGACCAAUACUGACGCUGAGGAGCGAAGGCGUGGGGAGCAAACAGG
rnacentral:rRNA from 1 species